rnacentral:rRNA from 1 species
GAUGAACGCUAGCUACAGGCUUAACACAUGCAAGUCGAGCGGUUUGUGCUUUUGCACAUUCAGCGGCAGACGGGUGAGUAACACGUAUCUAACCUUCCCCUUACUUGGGCAUAGCCUCUGGAAACGGAGAUUAAUUUCCGAUGUGGUGUACAUUUCGCAUGUUUUGCGCACCAAAGAUUUAUCGGUAAGGGAUGGGGAUGCGCUCCAUUAGGUAGUAGGUAGGGUAAUGGCCUACCUAGCCUAUGAUGGAUAGGGGUUCUGAGAGGAAGGUCCCCCACAUUGGAACUGCGACACGGUCCAAACUCCUACGGGAGGCAGCAGUGAGGAAUAUUGGUCAAUGGCCGGAAGGCUGAACCAGCCAAGUAGCGUGCAGGAAGACUGCCUUAUGGGUUGUAAACUGCUUUUCCACGGGAAGAACCCUCCGACGUGUCGGAGACUGACGGUACCGUGGGAAUAAGCAUCGGCUAACUCCGUG